ACUGGCUCUUCUCUCCUGACCUGCCAGGAUGAUCCACUCAUCUGCCUGACUCCCAGAGCUUUCACAAUGGAGCCCUGGGUAGUGGGAGGGUAAAGGGAGGCCAACUUCAAUGCUUUAUUUACAGUGUUCAGAAUCCUUUGUGAAGGAAGGAAAAACGGGCUGACCUAGAUGACACUUGGAGAGAAGUCUUACAUAUAAAAACUCUUCUGGAACCAUUAAAUUUUUUUCAACAACUUAGGUGACUUUAGUGUUUGGGGGGCAUUGCCUUUCCUUCCCCUCCUGUGCUCUUGAAGACCAAGGAAGAAAGAGAAAAGUACACCCAGGGAGCCUGCCUCCACACUGCCUUUUUGUUGGAAGCAGGAGGGAAGAACUCAUCUAUGAGGGAUAAAUGGAACUCUAACACAGGAUUCAGGACAGAACAUUCUAGAAGUUCAGACACUCAUUCUACAAAAUGGUGUGGAUGUGGACUUCAGAAGGCAGCCGCACACAGCUCAGUGAUUAAGAGAACACACUGCUAUUGCAGAGGACCCAGGUCUGGUUCCCAGCACCCACAU